UGCACGUAUUCUGGAAUCGUCCCAAUCCUCUAUAACAAACCAGGACGAAGAGAAAGACGUCAUACCGGCCAACGUGUUGCCCGCUGGACUGAUCUAUGUGUGUGUGCAGGUGUUUCUCAAAGUUACCAGUUUCAUGGACUGUACAUUCAUCGAUAUUAAACCAAACCCAAGAUUAACUGGUUUCUUUUAUCCACCCAUGACGUUUUUGGAAUGGCAUAACGAUAGACAUUUAACUGUAGUGGCUAACUUUCACAUUGUAGAUGCUGAUGCUAGGAGUUCUAUAGAGGUAGAUUUCGAAGUGAGUAACUCUACUGAAUGCUCUUCUUAUGUUGUGGAAG
rnacentral:sRNA from 1 species